UGGCACAUAGUUCCCAUGACAAGUCUC
rnacentral:piRNA from 1 species